rnacentral:snRNA from 1 species
GUAUUUGCUACGGCAGUACAUAUACUAAAAUUGGAACGAUACAGAGAAGAUCAGCAUGGCCCCUGCGCAAGGAUAACACGCAAAAUCGUGAAGCGUUCCACAUUCUU